rnacentral:rRNA from 1 species
UAUGACUGAUUCGAUAGAAAAGAGGGAAUAGUGUGCAUUUUUCGUUGGGGAUUCCCUGGAAUAAAACGCUGCGUCUUCCUUUGAUUCCUUAUGAAGGAUAUCCAAUCAAUUAGAAUUCAGGUUAAAGAGGGUCUUUAUCCUCGUUGUAUUCUUUAUAUGGAAAUCGGCCAGGGGGUCAUUCCUUUGACUCAUACUGAUGAUAAGUUUUUUACUCCACGAGAAAUUGAACAAAAAACUAUUGAAUUGGCCUAUUUCUUUCGCGUACCACUUGAAGUAUUUUGA